UAUCCACAGUGUGGCAUGGUGGUGGAAGCAUCAUAUCCACAGUGAGGCAUGGUGGUGGAAGCAUCAUAUCCACAGUGAGGCAUGGUGGUGGAAGCAUCAUAUCCACAGUGAAGCAUGGUGGUGGAGGUGAUUCCUCGUCAGAAUUGAGGGACAGUUGGAUGGCGCCAAACACGCGGCAAUCCUUGAAGUAAAAUGGUUUUACCUCAAUCCAAUUGAGAGUCUAUGCCAAGAUUUGAAAAUUACUGUUCACAGAAUGUCUGUUUUCAAUCGGACUAAGCUUCAGCUUUUUUACCAAGAAGAACAAGCGAACAUUUCCAUCUCUAGAUGUGCAAAGCUGGUGGAGACAUACCACAAACUUUAAUUGCAACUGUAAUUGCACCGUGAGGGCAUUCUACCUAGUAUUGGCUCGGGUGGGGAGGGGCAGUGAAUACUUCCAACAGGUGUCAACUUUUUUGUUUUCAUCAUUGUUUGUGUCAAACUUAACAGUAUUUUGCACCUUCAAAGUAGUAUGCAUGUUGUGUUGACCAAAUGGGGAAAAGUUUAUUUGAAUUCCAGAUUGUAACUGUCGAAAAUGAAGGGUGAAUACUUGCAAGGCUCUAUAUAUUCAUGUCAAUGCUUACUUUUUCUCUUUUUUGAUGCAAAGGAUGGUAAACCCUAAAAUGCUAAUUUGUGAUAUUGGACUAUACAAAUAACAACGGGCUUAAACUGAAUUAAACGGUCAUCUGUUUGAUUCUCAAUAGUUCCUGAUUUUUAAAGGAGACUGAUUGCAUCAAUUUCAUUUUAACCUUAACUCCAACUACUAUUAUUAGAUUAAAUAAGUGGAUACAUACAUUAAAGAUCAAGGGUCAACCACAGUCAAUGGUGCAGUUAAAUAUGACUGAUUGAAGGUCAGCUCUGUGACCUUGAAUUUGAUUCAACAAGUAUGGAUGACUAAAAGAUACAUUGAUGAUGUACACUCCCAUUUGAAAGAGAGCUUCAUUUCCCACAUGGAUAUAUAUUAAGAGAUUAUGAACUUUGACAAUGACGAACAUAUCUCUGGCCGAUUAGAAAACUUGAAUCACCUGCUUCUCAUGCUUCUUUUUUUUCUCGGUGUGAAUGUGUGUGUGCAUGAGUUUCAAAUGUUCAGCCCAGGCAUCAGGAAGAAUCAAGUGUUUUGUAGAAGCUCAGAAGACUCCUUUGGGAUCAUAAAUAUUAAGAGUUGAUGAGACUGAUCUCAGGACAUAUUUUCGUUGCAUAAACCUGACUAUAUGAAUGUCGCAGUGAUUUUUCAGUUUUCUGUAAUUGACAUUGACUUUUUCAGGUGUUAUCUACCAGUCUCUUGUCUUUUCUUCUUAUUUUGUAUUUUCAGGACUUGUCUGGACAUCAAGACCCCGAGUGUAGGUGCCCCCCCCCCCAAGCUCGUUCUCAUACCCAGGUCACACACUUCUGCUUUGUGACGUACCGAGGCUCACAGACCUCACAGGCCGUCCACAGCAGGGUGAAGAUGCCUCCGGCUGCUAUCAACCAAUUUAAAAAAGGUUGUGCUUUGGAAUGUAACCAAAGAAAAACGAUCAGAUAACAACAUCAUUCACUUUCACCAACGCCACGCUCUCUUUCUCUGUUCGGAUGGAUUUUAACUGUUGUUUUUCCAAACAGCAAACAACAACUUGAAUACAUCUUAAAACUUUUUCAAAUAAGAAAUUGACUUUAGUGUAAAAAAAUGUUUCCCUACCUUGUUAAUCGCUUUGCGGAUCCCCAGGUUUACAUUUGGGGGGUCCCCAACCCACAGUUUAGGAAACAGUGGGGAGAUAUCUUCAUGGCGAUGCAUGCACAAACCAAAGAAAGACCUAAAAGUGUUGACAACCCCGCCGGCCAAAAAUCUACCUUUGGCUUAGAGUUGCACAAAAAUCAUGGAAAUGCCCCAAAUGCCGAAAUCCAAAUAUUGUUGUCUGCACUGAUUAUUUAUGGUAUAAUAUGUAUCGCACAACACUUGCCCACGCAUCUGCAGAGACGCACAAAGAAAGGAGCAAUACAUCACAGCUGAAACAAUCAAAUUGUUGGUGACACGAGCCAUAAAGGCGACACAAAACAUGAGGUGUUGUUCAGAUUUGAAGGCAGGCCUGAAAUUGAAAAUAAAGCUGUGUAUUAUUUGUGAUUGGGUUUGCCCCCCCUCCCCCUCCCCAUCUGGUUCUUUCCAGUGCACCUGAUAACCAGAACACACACUGAGGCAUCAGCUUCCCCUCUGUUCAUUCAUACCAUUUAGCUGCUUAAUGAGCUCCUCAAUCAUGCACGCAAAAGAAGAAUCAACAAACCAACGCGUCCAUCCUUCCCAGUUAAAGAAGUGCUCAGUUAGCUUUAGACAUGGGGGAGGGGGGGGGGGUAUUCGCUGUCAACACGUCACUUGAGAG
ensembl:lncRNA